UACGUAGGGGGCAAGCGUUGUCCGGAAUCAUUGGGCGUAAAGAGCGUGUAGGCGGCCCGGUAAGUCCGCUGUGAAAGUCCAGGGCUCAACCCUGGGAUGCCGGUGGAUACUGUCGGGCUUGAGUACGGAAGAGGCGAGUGGAAUUCCUGGUGUAGCGGUGAAAUGCGCAGAUAUCAGGAGGAACACCAAUUGCGAAGGCAGCUCGCUGGGACGUUACUGACGCUGAGACGCGAAAGCGUGGGGAGCAAACAGG
rnacentral:rRNA from 1 species